GACGAACGCUGGCGGCGUGCUUAACACAUGCAAGUCGAACGGAAAGGCCUGCUUUCCCUUGUGGAUUGCGGGUACUCGAGUGGCGAACGGGUGAGUAACACGUGAGUGAUCUGCCCCCAACUUGGGUAUAAGCCUGGGAAACUGGGUCUAAUUCCCGAUAGGACUGCAGGGUGGUGCCUGUGGUGGAAAACGAUUUUCUAGUGGUUGGGGAUGAGCUCGCGGCCUAUCAGCUUGUUGGUGGGGUAAUGGCCUACCAAGGCGGCGACGGGUAGCCGGCCUGGGAGGGUGGACGGCCACAUUGGGACUGAGAUACGGCCCAGACUCCUACGGGAGGCAGCAGUGGGGAAUAUUGGACCAUGGGCGGAAGCCUGAUGCAGCGACGCCGCGUGGGGGAUGUCGGCCUUCGGGUUGUAAACUCCUUUCGACCGCGAGGAAGCCACCUGGUUGGAAGGGUGGUGACGGUAGUGGUAGAAGAAGCACCGGCUAACUACGUG
rnacentral:rRNA from 1 species